rnacentral:rRNA from 1 species
GACGAACGCUGGCGGCGUGCUUAACACAUGCAAGUCGAGCGGUAAGGCCCUUUCGGGGGCACACGAGCGGCGAACGGGUGAGUAACACGUGGGUGACCUGCCCUCAGCUCUGGGAUAAGCCUGGGAAACCGGGUCUAAUACCGGAUAUGACUCCAUGACGCAUGUUGUGGGGUGGAAAGCCUUGUGCGGCUGAGGAUGGGCCCGCGGCCUAUCAGCUUGUUGGUGGGGUGANGGCCUACCAAGGCGACGACGGGUAGCCGGCCUGAGAGGGCGACCGGCCACACUGGGACUGAGACACGGCCCAGACUCCUACGGGAGGCAGCAGUGGGGAAUCUUGCGCAAUGGGCGAAAGCCUGACGCAGCGACGCCGCGUGAGGGAUGACGGCCUCGG